AGCAGUGGGGAAUAUUGGACAAUGGGCGAAAGCCUGAUCCAGCCAUGCCGCGUGUGUGAAGAAGGCCUUCGGGUUGUAAAGCACUUUAAGCGAGGAGGAAGGGUAUCAACUUAAUACGUUGGUAUUUUGACGUUACUCGCAGAAUAAGCACCGGCUAACUCUGUGCCAGCAGCCGCGGUAAUACAGAGGGUGCAAGCGUUAAUCGGAAUUACUGGGCGUAAAGCGCGCGUAGGCGGUUGUGUAAGUUGGAUGUGAAAUCCCCGGGCUUAACCUGGGAAUGGCAUUCAAAACUGCACGGCUAGAGUAUGGGAGAGGAAGGUAGAAUUCCAGGUGUAGCGGUGAAAUGCGUAGAUAUCUGGAGGAAUACCGAUGGCGAAAGCAGCCUUCUGGCCUAAUACUGACGCUGAGG
rnacentral:rRNA from 1 species